CUGCUGUCCCCUGCCCCUGUGGUUUGCUUCAGCUGUGGAAACAGGAACUGCUGAGUCAGCAUGCUGGUGUAACUCACACUGCUCUCAUGGGGAGAGGGCUGCAGCGAGGGGGCUGGCAGCAGCUCACAGCCUGCAGGAAAACAAGUACUUACAUUCUCUUGCAGUGGCCUGAAAAAAUAAAUAAUCUCUUUGCUUAAAAACUCAAAGAGGUAGCAAGAACCCGAAGUGUAAGUGUGAGGGGAAUGAUCAGAUCUGGCAGAUGUGCGCUGACGAUCAAGCAUUUAGAGUUUGGCCAAUGUCAUUUUUCUGUUUGCUCUGUUAACAGCCCAGUUAUGCUUGAAGAAGCCAAGAUGCAGCUGGCUGAACAGGCAGAACAAGGCCAUCACAUUUGGCUCAUCUGCCUGGUGCCGAUAGAGAGCAGCAGCCUGUUCUGAUUACGGACUCGUGCAGAGGUGAAAUUGCUCCCUUGGAACCAGUACAAGGUGCCCUGUUGAUGUUUGGAGGACCAGCAGCACAGAGAGUCAGGAGACAGAUUCUGCAACCCAGGAAGAGAAAGUGUUUGCUGUUCCCCCGCAGUGCCACACCUUUGAGACAUGCCCAGUUCGUCAAGACUGCGUGAUGGGAAGGCAGGAGGUUUACUGUGCCUGGAAGCCAGAAUGAACUAUUACAAAUAAAAAUAUUCAAAUAAGCAAGUUCUGAAGUUUCUCUGAGGAAGGGAAAGGAAGUGAAUACAGCAUGGCAGCUAGCUGUGCAUAGAGGGAGCCAGAGCUGGAGAAGUGAGCACACACAUACGGGGACGGAAUUUGGAGACCACUACCCAGAGGGGUGCCUUGAAGAAGCUGAGCAGACACAGUGCAGCUACUUACCCACAAGUCUUGUUACUUGUUUGCUUUUAACUCCAAGAUUCAACCACAGGCUCCCCUAAAAGAAUUGUCCUGCCACUUCAGUGCCAAUCACCAUCUCCCAACAUAAGCAUCGCUGGCACUGUUGCACUGCAGCUCAGCUCCUGACAAGCUGGUGAGCUGCAUGGCUCCAUCCAAGGGCUGGAAGCUUCGCUGAAGUUUAGCAGAGCUGCAGCAAGCACUCCAUCUGUCAGCAGGGGUUUACCUCAGCUUACAUCUCCAGCCAUUGUUUACAAGGUUAAUAAUCAUCCAGGGAGGCAAAGAUUACCAACGUCAAAACCCAAAGAGCCGAGCAGAGCGCUGCAAGUGAGCAGAGUGCUACAAGUGGUUGACCGACCUGAGCAAAGUGUUUAGGUGAGGACUGCAGCUCACCAAAACAUUCCCAAGCAGCCCUAUGCACGAACAGAAGUAUUACACAACUGCCUGAUUUCCCCCACAGCUCACUUCAAAUGCCUGUCCUCUGCAGACACGACCCAUUCUUGUCGAACACAAACAUAAAACAUCAUAUUUUAUUAAACUCACAGCAAAUUUUGUUACCGACGUUAGCCAAGUAACGUUUGGACAGCCAGCUUGGAAAGAUGAGUGAUUUGUAUCAUUUGCUUCACUUGUGCUUAUCUGUUUUUGAGAAUAAUAGGCAGAACUACUCGAACUUCCACACUAUCCUACUGAAACAAACAUAGGCUCGUUCCUUGGGUUGAAUAUUUACUAAAAAACCCAACAACCAUUGCAGUAUCAGAGGUUUUUUGGACGAAAGCAACUA
rnacentral:lncRNA from 1 species